GAACUCUUGCUGCAGAGUUUCGAGCGCCGCUUCCUGGCGGCGCGCUCACUGCGCUCCUUCCCCUGGCAGAGCUUAGAAGCAAAGUUAAGAGACUCAUCAGAUUCUGAGCUGCGGCGGGAUAUUUUGCAGAAGACUGUGAAGCAUCCUGUGUGUGUGAAGCACCCGCCGUCAGUCAAGUAUGCCCGGUGCUUUCUCUCAGAACUCAUGAAAAAGAUUAGAACGAAAGCAAACAAGCUCUCACUCAGCCUGCCCCCAGCACGAGGCUGUCCACACAGAGCCUUUGGACGAGCUGUACGAGGUGCUGGCGGAGACUUUGAUGGCCAAGGAGUCCACCCAGGGCCACUGGAGCUAUUUGCUGCCCUCGGGAGGCUCGGUCACACUCUCCAAGAGCACAGCCAUCAU
ensembl:lncRNA FAM86EP family with sequence similarity 86, member A pseudogene